AGGUUCCAGGUAAGGGAUGAGUACGUUCUGGAGUUAGUUAUUACGUAGGUUCCAGGUAAGGGAUGAGUACGUUCUGGAGUUAGUUAUUACGUAGGUUCCAGGUAAGGGAUGAGUACGUUCUGGAGUUAGUUAUUACGUAGGUUCCAGGUAAGGGAUGAGUACGUUCUGAAGUUAGUUAUUACGUAGGUUCCAGGUAAGGGAUGAGUACGUUCUGAAGUUAGUUAUUACGUAGGUUCCAGGUAAGGGAUGAGUACGUUCUGGAGUUAGUUAUCACGUAGGUUCCAGGUAAGGGAUGUGUACGUUCUGGAGUUAGUUAUUACGUAGGUUCCAGGUAAGGGAUGAGUACGUUCUGAAGUUAGUUAUUACGUAGGUUCCAGGUAAGGGAUGAGUACGUUCUGGAAUUAGUUAUUACGUAGGUUCCAGGUAAGGGAUGAGUACAUUCUGGAGUUAGUUAUUACGUAGGUUCCAGGUAAGGGAUGAGUACAUUCUGGAGUUAGUUAUUACGUAGGUUCCAGGUAAGGGAUGAGUACGUUCUGGAGUUAGUUAUUACGUAGGUUCCAGGUAAGGGAUGAGUACAUUCUGGAGCUAGUUAUUAGUAAAAAGAUCCAGGGUGAAAUCAGAGUCAGAUGAAUUGAGCUUGAGAUGGGACGGGAGGUAGGAUGGGUAUGUGCAUGCGUGUGCACUUGUGUGUGUAUGUGUGCGUGCGCAUCUGCGUGUGUGUGUGUGUGUUACGUGGACAGUGAACAGAGCAGGUAGAGGUAGGGUCGUCGUUAGGUAGGGCAACGCACUACAAUUCCUCCCUGUACUCUUAGAAAAAAAGGUGCUAUCUAGAACCUGAAAGGGUUUUUCGGCUGUCCCAAUAGGAGAACCCUUUGAAGAACCCUUUUUGGGUUCCAAGUAUAACCCUUUUAGUUCUAGGUAGAACCCUUUCGGGUUCCAUGUAGAACCCUUUUUACAGAGGGUUCUACAUGGAACUUAAAAGGGUUCUACCUGGAACUAAAAAGGGUUCUCCUAUGGGGAGAGCCGAAGAACCCUUUUGGAACCUGUUUUUCUGUGUGUGGUAUAAUUGUGUUAACAUUCUAUUUCAUCUUAUCGUUUUACAAACUGUUGGACUAUAAAACUGCAGCCAUUCAUUUGCCUGGUGUUGAAAUGCCAUACUAUAUAUAUAUCUAGGCGUUUGGUGAACCUUUCUGUGGUCAAAAUUACACAAAAUGGCUGGUUAGACACUGGGGAACAUUGGGGAACAUUGGGGAACCAAGAGACAGGUACCUCUCUAUGCAUUGUGUCUCUCUUUUAAAUGUAGAUUAUGGUGCAACAACUUGCCAGGAUCUACAAAAUGACAUUCAUUAAUGACAAGAAGUAUACAGCAUUGUAUAGAAACUAUUUUUAAUCACAGGAUAUUUUAUCCAGAGAGUUAUUUUAUUAUCAUAUUGAAUAACCUAGAAGAGGAAUGAUGGUGAAACUGAAAGACAUUUCAUAUCAGAGUCUAUAAUAAUAUCAUGAUUGAACUGAACUGGCUGAUGCUAAACGUGACGGUGCAUUCUUAGAAUGCAUCCCAAAUGGCACCCAUAUUCCCUACCUAGUGCACUACCCCAUAGGGCUCUGGUCAAAAGUAGUGCACUACAUAGGGAAUAAAAGGGGGCCAUUUCUGACUCAUGUUAGAAUAUGAACGUUAAACUAUAUGGUGUCAAAAUCCACCUUGAGUAGAUAUUUGGGAUCCUCUGAAGUCAUUUUUAAUUGUUCAUAUGGAUUAGUAACAGUAGUUUGACAUAAUCUGUAUGCAGCCAAAACAAAUAUAUAGAUUAUAUUUUGAUGAUUUGUGUUCCCAUUGCAAGUGUCUUUCAACUUUCGGUAAAGUAGCAAUGUAGCCAUUUUCCCCCAGGCCAGGACCACAAACUAAAGACAUUGGUUUGUCUGAGUCCAGGCCCCACAGACUAAAGACAUUGGUUCGUCUGAGGCCAGGCCCCACAAACUAAAGACAUUGGUUUGUCUGAGGCCAGGCCCCACAGACUAAAGACAUUGGUUUGUCUGAGGCCAGGCCCCACAGACUAAAGACAUUGGUUCGUCUGAGGCCAGGCCCCACAAACUAAA